rnacentral:rRNA from 2 species
UAGACCGCCUGGGGAGUACGGCCGCAAGGUUAAAACUCAAAUGAAUUGACGGGGGCCCGCACAAGCGGUGGAGCAUGUGGUUUAAUUCGAUGCAACGCGAAGAACCUUACCUGGUCUUGACAUCCACGGAAGUUUUCAGAGAUGAGAAUGUGCCUUCGGGAACCGUGAGACAGGUGCUGCAUGGCUGUCGUCAGCUCGUGUUGUGAAAUGUUGGGUUAAGUCCCGCAACGAGCGCAACCCUUAUCCUUUGUUGCCAGCGGUUAGGCCGGGAACUCAAAGGAGACUGCCAGUGAUAAACUGGAGGAAGGUGGGGAUGACGUCAAGUCAUCAUGGCCCUUACGACCAGGGCUACACACGUGCUACAAUGGCGCAUACAAAGAGAAGCGACCUCGCGAGAGCAAGCGGACCUCAUAAAGUGCGUCGUAGUCCGGAUUGGAGUCUGCAACUCGACUCCAUGAAGUCGGAAUCGCUAGUAAUCGUGGAUCAGAAUGCCACGGUGAAUACGUUCCCGGGCCUUGUACACACCGCCCGUCACACCAUGGGAGUGGGUUGCAAAAGAAGUAGGUAGCUUAACCUUCGGGAGGGCGCUUACCACUUUGUGAUUCAUGACUGGGGUGAAGUCGUAACAAGGUAACCGUAGGGGAACCUGCGGUUGGAUCACCUCCUUACCUGAAAGAAGC